CCCUCUGAUGAGGAAGCCACAGAUGAGCCUUUAGCAAACAGCAAACAGACAUCUUUAUGUCAAGAAAUGCCUGGGGAAAUCCAGGAUCUGCCUAGGACAUGCAAAGGAAAGGAACGUAGCCGGGAGCCUCAGGCGAGGCCUCUGCUCUCUGCAGAGCCCAACUCUCCCUUCUCUGAUGAUGGUGGAGUUGCUCCAUUUCUUCGUACAGUGAGAUGCCUUGAGGAGCUACAGCGAGCUAUUUACCGUUUGCAGGAGAAAAAUCUCUUUCCGUAUAACCCAGCGGCACUUCUGAAGUUGUUGAAAGGUGUGGAGGCCAAGUGUGAUAAUGUGUGAGCCCUGGGUAACACAGCAACAUUUGUCCUCAGGUUUGUUUCUCUUUAUAUAAAUUGCCUAUCUAAGAUAAAUAAAAACAAAAUCUGC
rnacentral:lncRNA from 1 species